rnacentral:rRNA from 1 species
UACAGAGGGUGCGAGCGUUGUCCGGAAUCACUGGGCGUAAAGGGCGCGUAGGUGGCCCGACAAGUCAAUGGUGAAAGUUCGACGCUUAACGUCGAAUCGGCCACUGAUACUGUUGGGCUGGAGCACUGUAGAGGCUCAUGGAAUUCCGGGUGUAGCGGUGGAAUGCGUAGAUAUCUGGAGGAACACCGGUGGCGAAGGCGGCAUCCUGGACCAAUACUGACGCUCAUGUGCGAAAGCGUGGGGAGCAAACAGG